rnacentral:ncRNA from 1 species
GUGCGGGGACGACCCUGCGCGCACUUUCCCAUCGCGGGGACGGCCCUG